AUUGAACGCUGGCGGCAUGCUUUACACAUGCGAGUCGAACGGUAACAGGCCUUCGGGUGCUGACGAGUGGCGAACGGGUGAGUAAGGCAUCGGAACGUACCCAGAGCUUGGGGAUAACGCAGCGAAAGCUGUGCUAAGACCGCAUGUGAUCUGAGGAUGAAAGCGGGGGACCGAGCAGCAAUGUUUGGCCUCGCGCCUUUGGAGCGGCCGAUGUCGGAUUAGCUAGUUGGUGGGGUAAAGGCCUACCAAGGCGACGAUCCGUAGCUGGUCUGAGAGGACGACCGGCCGCCCUGGAACGGGGACACGGCCCAUGCGCCUGCGGGAGGCCGCAGUCUGGUAUGGUAGACAGCAGGCGCGAGCCUUGUCCAGUGAGGCCGAGUGCGAGAAGGAGGCCUUCGGGUCGUAAAGCGCUUUUGGCAGGAACGAACCGGUGUCCGCUAAUACCGGGCGCUAAUGACGGUACCUGCAGAAUAAGCACCGGCUAACUACGUG
rnacentral:rRNA from 1 species